GUGAGUGAUGCAAUGGCUUCUAUGGACACCUCUGCUAUGGUCAACUCUAAGAUCUUUCCGUAAGUCUUGCGGAAGGCUUGCAUUUGGAGGGGUUCCAUCAACCGCCCUAAUUCCUUGAUGCUGGUGGUAUCUGGGCUUUUGACCUUGACUUGGUAGAACCUCUUGCCGGUUUGAUUUGUUCCCAUGCUUACUAAAAUGAGACAAAAGCUGGUGCAAAUCAAAA
rnacentral:lncRNA from 1 species